ensembl:snRNA U1 U1 spliceosomal RNA
AUACUUACCUGGCAGGGGAGAUUCUAUGAUCAUGAAGGUGGUUUUCCUAGGGCGAAGCUCAUCCAUUGCACUCUGGAUGUACUCACCCCUGCCAUUUCCCCAAAUGUGGGAAACUCGACUGCGUAAUUUGUGGUAGUAGGGGACUGCAUUCGCACUCUCCCUUU